CCUCAACAGCCAGCAAAGUUCCAGAUGGAGGCUGUUGUGUGUGCCUGGAUCUCGCAGUGAAGUGGUCCAUAAUGGUGCAACCCACGAUCGAGGCUGGUGUGGAUUCAAUGGGACCCAGUAGGACCUCUCACAGGCUGAAUGAGUGAAUCCAUUUGAACCACUUAGCACAAUGUCUUGCCUGCACAAGUUACAGUGGAGACCUGAAGCCUGAAAUCGACAAGGAUUUCUCUAACUAAUCUAUUCCUGGGACUUGUUUAGAAAUAUUCAGCUCUCUCAGUUAUGCUUCUGUGAAUCCACCUUCCUUUGAAGCCAGUGAGGAUCCUGCCUGUUAUCAGUAAAGAAUUUGGCUGCAAAUAAGAGAAAAUCCAACCAAUGGUGACUUACACUAACAUACAUAAUCCUAGGGCUGGAGCAGCUGCUUAAAUAAGUCAUCACGUACCCAGGCUUCUUCUAUCAUUUGCUCUACCAUCCUCAGCUCAUGACUUUAAUGACUUUAGUCCUCACGGUCACAAGAUGGCUGCUGUACUUCCUGGUCUCACAUCCAUGUUCCAGACAGGAAGAAGAAGGAAGGGCAAAGGGUUCAUCAUUCUUUUUUUUUUUUUUUUAAGUCAGGGAAACAAGCUUUCCUAGAAGUCUCAUUUGGCUGACUUUGCCUACGACAGCGUCUGCUCUGCCGAGGAAACAGAACAAUGCGGCUCUCAUGAGUGCAUUAUGUACAUAUGUGUAAUGGCACUGGUGGUGGGAAUCAGAAGGAAGAGAGAAUACAAUGACUACCCUGAAGGGAAAUCGCUAAACUGAUUUGUCCCACCUGAAAAUGUGACAGAAACCAGUCAACACACAUUGAGACAAAGCUGGGUUUCUUCACACUUGCCUCCAAAUAUCCAGCCAGAACGAGGAACAGUAUGGUCUCAUGGACACUGGCCAUAUGUCACUAACCUCUUACUAGUGUCCAAAUGAGAGGGAAAUAAACAUUCCACAUCAGGGUAAUGAACCCUCAAGUCUUGGAGCAGAGCUUCCGUUCUUCCUGGACAGACUGAAACCCCAUUGAGAAGUUGAGUAACUCACAAGUGAAGAGGAUUGCUAGAUGAGGAGCCAAAGGAUGGAGAAAGUCUCCUGAACCACAUGCCAGUGUCCCGAGGACAGGAUUCUGGUCUUGAGCAAGGUCAAGCUGGGUUCUCAUAUGAAGGGGAGGGGGAGAGGGGCUGGAUCAGAGGAGGGCCCUGGGAGGGAGUUGUUGGCUGUCAAGGGAGCAAGUACAUUAACAAAGGUGUCACCCUUUACCUCCUUAGCAGUCUGAUGGUCUUGCUUUUCCAUAUAUCUUUUCACCCUAGCUUGUCAACUAACACAGUAAUGUAAUUCCUUUUGGAAAUGCUUGAAAAUUAUACACACACUCACAG